AAUAUGUGACAGUGGGGGCGACCCUGAUCCAGCCAUGCCGCGUGUGUGAAGAAUGUUUUCGGAUUGUAAAUCACUUUAAGUCGGGAGGAAGGGCUUUAGGUUAAUACCCUGAAUGUUUGACGUUACCAACAGAAUAAGCACCGGCUGACUCUGUGCCAGCAGCCGAGGUAAUACAGAGGGUGCAAGAGUUAAUCGGAACUACUGGGCGUAACGAGCGCGUAGGUGGUUCAGUAAGAUGGGUGUGAAAUCCCCGGGCUUAACCUGGGAACUGCUUUCAUAACUGCUGAGCUAGAGUACGGUAGAGGGUAGUGGAAUUUCCUGUGUAGCGGUGAAAUGCGUAGAUAUAGGAAGGAACACCAGUGGCGAAGGCGACUACCUGGACUGAUACUGACACUGAGGUGCGAAAGCGUGGGGAGCAAAC
rnacentral:rRNA from 1 species